UUACUACGUGAGGUUGGUUCCACAUAGCAGCGCCGA
rnacentral:SRP_RNA from 15 species